rnacentral:lncRNA from 1 species
CUAAAUCAAACCCCAAAUCAAAUUCUAGACAAAUUCUAAAUCCUAAAUCAAACCUUAGAUCAAAUCCUAGAUCCUAAAACAAAUUCUAAAUCAAAUCGUAGAUAAACUCUAAACUCUAAAUCCUAAAUCAAACUCUAGAUAAAUUCUAAAUCAUAAAUCAAACCCUAAACAAAUCCUAAAUCCUAAAUCAAAUCCUAGAUAAAUCCUAAAUCCUAAAUCAAAU